rnacentral:rRNA from 1 species
CUUGCUUCUCUUGAGAGCGGCGGACGGGUGAGUAAUGCCUAGGAAUCUGCCUGGUAGUGGGGGAUAACGUCCGGAAACGGACGCUAAUACCGCAUACGUCCUACGGGAGAAAGCAGGGGACCUUCGGGCCUUGCGCUAUCAGAUGAGCCUAGGUCGGAUUAGCUAGUUGGUGGGGUAAUGGCUCACCAAGGCGACGAUCCGUAACUGGUCUGAGAGGAUGAUCAGUCACACUGGAACUGAGACACGGUCCAGACUCCUACGGGAGGCAGCAGUGGGGAAUAUUGGACAAUGGGCGAAAGCCUGAUCCAGCCAUGCCGCGUGUGUGAAGAAGGUCUUCGGAUUGUAAAGCACUUUAAGUUGGGAGGAAGGGCAGUAAAUUAAUACUUUGCUGUUUUGACGUUACCGACAGAAUAAGCACCGGCUAACUCUGUGCCAGCAGCCGCGGUAAUACAGAGGGUGCAAGCGUUAAUCGGAAUUACUGGGCGUAAAGCGCGCGUAGGUGGUUCGUUAAGUUGGAUGUGAAAUCCCCGGGCUCAACCUGGGAACUGCAUUCAAAACUGACGAGCUAGAGUAUGGUAGAGGGUGGUGGAAUUUCCUGUGUAGCGGUGAAAUGCGUAGAUAUAGGAAGGAACACCAGUGGCGAAAGCGACCACCUGGACUGAUACUGACACUGAGGUGCGAAAGCGUGGGGAGCAAACAGG